CGAAACGCCGCGCCGACGGGUCUUCGGAGUGCGCGCGCUCGAAGCGACCAAGCGGCAGCCAUUACCACCAGCGUCGGCGCAUUGUUCUGCCGUCCUUGGUGUCUCCCGCAGUUUCGAACAGCCAAGACUCCACGACUGCAGCCGUUUCAUUGCCAGCUGUAAGGAUGAAGCAGCUUCAUAGCCGGACAUCAGACGCCUUCCAAGUUCCCCUUUUCAGCAACAGAGGCCUAGGAUGCCAUUCUACCUGUGCUGCAUUGUGUGGGUGACCACUCCAAGGAUCUCAGCAGAAUCAUUACACAGGAAGAAGUCCUGCUGACCCCAAGUAUGGUGUGAAAUGGAAGAAAUGGCACUCCACAUC